rnacentral:rRNA from 1 species
UACAGAGGGUGCAAGCGUUAAUCGGAAUUACUGGGCGUAAAGCGUGCGUAGACGGUUACAUAAGUCGGAUGUGAAAGCCCCGGGCUCAACCUGGGAAUUGCAUUCGAGACUGUGUAGCUAGGAUGUGGAAGAGGGAAGCGGAAUUUCCGGUGUAGCGGUGAAAUGCGUAGAUAUCGGAAGGAACACCAGUGGCGAAAGCGGCUUCCUGGUCCAGCAUCGACGUUCAGGCACGAAAGCGUGGGGAGCAAACAGG